ACGCUCGACACCUACGGGAGGAGCAGUGGGGAAUAUUGCACAAUGGGGGAAACCCUGAUGCAGCGACGCCGCGUGAGCGAAGAAGUAUUUCGGUAUGUAAAGCUCUAUCAGCAGGGAAGAAGAAAGACGGUACCUGACUAAGAAGCCCCGGCUAACUACGUGCCUAGCAGCCGCGGUAAUCUGAGCGGGCUGGCAAGGC
rnacentral:rRNA from 1 species